CCAAAAGGAAGUACAAUAGUGUGUUCAAUACAUUUUGAAGAUGGAUUUUUUUAUUACCUCAAAAAAGGAGAAAAUAUUUCAAACCUGGAACUAUACCAGAAAACAAGUUCAUAAGCUGGUAGCAAUAAAACCAUAAAGUUGUCUCGAGACGAAAAAGUGUGAUGUUAAGUGCCAGUUGAGAGAUGUUCAACAUAAGCUGGAAAGGCAAACAAAGAUUUCGGCGACACGGUUGAAGAAAUUGCGUGCAAGUCGAGAGUCGCGGAGAAAACUACAGAAGAAAGUUGCAGUUUUGGAAAAUAUUCUGGUUGAAUAAAAAGCCAAAAUUUUGAUUAG